AUGGAAUCAGGGAAUCCAUAUGACUGCCAGUUACCUACUAAAAGAAAACUGCAUCAUAUUAUUCCUUUUGCUAAUAUUUCUUCAAAGAUGGAGGACAGAUUCUACUCUCCCAAAUGGAUCUCAACUUACCUCUCUGAACCUCUGGUUAUAAAUAUCUUUAUUUUUUUUUCUAAGAUUAUUUAUUUGAAAGUCAGAGUUACACACAGAGAGAAGGAGAGGCAGAGAGAGAGAGAGAGAGAGAGAGAGAUCGUCCAUCUGCUGGUUCACUCCUCAGUUGGUCGCAAUGGCUGGAGCUUAGCCGAUCUGAAGCCAGGAGCCAGGAGCUUUUUCUGGGUCUCCCAUGCAGGUGCAGGGGCCCAAGGACUUGGGCCACCUUCUACUGCUAUCCUAGGCCAUAGCAGAGAGCUGGAUAGGAAGUGGAGCAGCUGGGACUCGAACUGGUGCCCACAUGGGAUGCUGGCACUGCAAGUGACGACUUUUACCUGCUGCACCACAGAAUCAACCCUGUCUUGCUACUCAGUCUCUAAAACCAGUUGCCUGUUUUCUACUUCUCAAGAACUUACUUCCUUCUUUCCUUCCUUCCAUCCUUCCUCCCUCCCUCCCUUCCUUCCUUCCUCUUUCUUUUCUUUCUCUCUCUCUCUUUCAAGAUUUAUUUAUUUAUUUGAAAGGCAGAGUUGCAGAGGGGGAGGAGGGAGAGAUUUUCCAUCCACUCCAAUGGCUGGAGCUGGGCGGAUACGAAGACAGGAGCCAGGAGCUUCUUCCAGGUCUCCCACGAGGGUGCAGGGGCCCAAGGUCUUGAGCCAUCCUCUACUGCUUUCCCAGUUCACAGCAGAGAGCUGGACUGGAAAUGGAGCACUGGGACUUGAAUCAGUGUCCAUAUGGGAUACCAGCACUGCAGGCGGCCUUACCUGCUAUGCCACAGCGCCGGCCCUAAAGAAAUUCUUUCUGUUCAUCCCUUUGCUGGCCCUCCUCCAUGUGGUCCUCUCUCUCUCAGUGGAGUUAAUUGCCCUCUUCUCUGUCUCCCUUGAUAUUACACUUCUAUUUUUAUAG
rnacentral:lncRNA from 1 species